CUUCAAGCCUUCUGUAGGAGCACUUCAGCAGGGACUCGCAGCCUUUGAAAGGGUCCGGAAAGAACCCCUUCGUGAAGGCAGUCACAGCACCAGCCUCCCCUGGCGGACCUGGGGACAGGUGAUCUCCACACCUGCUGCCUCCUGCUGCACCUCGUCGCCGCCCAGAGCCAGAAACCAGCACCAGAGGGCGACUUAUCUCUGGGGGAGCCUCUGUGCGUCUGGAACACCACCGUUUCCAUUUGGCACCAUGAGUAAAUUAUAGGGUAACACUUCAGAACAAGUAUCUGUAAUCCGUAAUUAACAACAUAAGACCUAAUUACGUAAUUCAUCACGGUUAAUUGGAAAUUCA
rnacentral:lncRNA from 1 species